rnacentral:rRNA from 1 species
AUUGAACGCUGGUGGCAGGCCUAACACAUGCAAGUCGAAUGAGUUGCGGACGGGUGAGUAAUGUCUGGGAAACUGCCUGAUGGAGGGGGAUAACUACUGGAAACGGUAGCUAAUACCGCAUACCAUCAGAUGUGCCCAGAUGGGAUUUGCUAGUUGGUGGGGUAACGGCUCACCAAGGCGACGAUCCCUAGCUGGUCUGAGAGGAUGACCAGCCACACUGGAACUGAGACACGGUCCAGGCUCUUACGGGAGGCAGCGUUGGGGGAUAUUGCACAAUGGGCGCAAGCCUGAUGCAGCCAUGCCGCGUGUAUGAAGAAGGCCUUCGGGUUGUAAAGUACUUUCAGCGGGGAGGCGUUACCCGCAGAAGAAGCACCGGCUAACUCCGUGCCAGCAGUCGCGGUAAUAC